GCCCUGAUGGCUCAGUUGGUUAGAGCGCAGGUCUCAUACUCUCGUAUGACUGGUUGUACUACCGGGCAAUCCUGAGGUCGCAAGUUCGAACCUUGCUCAGGGCA
rfam:Rhizopogon vinicolor AM-OR11-026 unplaced genomic scaffold K503scaffold_350, whole genome shotgun sequence.